CAUCUACGUAGAUCGGAUUUGUAUCUGAUGGGGACCCUCCGAUGUCUAAGUCAGAGAGGAAAGUUGAUGAACAGGAGUUGAAUAUCAGUAAUAGCAGAGUUUUAGCCCAGAGUUGGCUUACCAGUCCUUUUUCUCUUACCCCUUUUUAUAGAUGAGAUUUUCGUAACCAUCAGACAUGGUUUUAUAUUUUAUGGUGCUAAAUCAUCAGACCAUAAUCGCAUAGUGAAUCAUUAAUUCCCAC
rnacentral:lncRNA from 1 species